rnacentral:tRNA from 1 species
GGGCGGCUAGCUCAGCUGGUUAGAGCGUUGCAUUCACAUUGCAAAGGUCAUUGGUUCGAGUCCAAUGCCGCCCACCA